GGUCUGGCCGGGCGGUCCGCCGUUUCGGCGUGUACUGCUCCAGGGCCGGUCCUUUCCUUCUGGGGAACCGUCGGGUCCUUCGCGGGGCUCGGCGGGGAGCCAGGACUUUUACUUUGAAAAAAUUAGAGUGUUUAAAGCAGGCCUACGCUUGAAUACAUUAGCAUGGAAUAAUAGAAUAGG
rnacentral:rRNA from 1 species